AUGCAUGCGGCACGAGCUCGGUCGUCAGGACGAGGAGCACAGGGGCACCAUGACAGGACGGAAGGGAUGGAAGAUGAGGCUCACAUGGCCGCCGCCCAUGAUGGGGACGAGGAUGGUGGCGAUGAUGACGGUGGUGCCGAGCAUGACCAGGUAGUGCUGGAACGCGACGACCACCGUGGUGACUGCGGCAAGGGAGAAGAAGCAGGGACGUCAGUCAGAACUCGGAAGGAACCACUGGUGAACCGGCCUAGCUACCGGCUGCGGAUGAGUGAGCGGCGAGGGCACGCACUCCAUGGCGGCGGGCUGGUGAUGCAGUAG
rnacentral:rRNA from 1 species